CAUUAAAAUCAAUCAGAUUUGUGCUGCAAACCUUUAUCUGUGAGCUUGAGAGACUAGGUUCAAGUGUUAAAAAACCCUAAAAUUAAGUUUUAAGAAAUAGUGUUCUAUUUCCUUUUAUUAUACUUGAUAAGGCUAAGGAUAUGUUGGAUUUUAUUCAGAAAUUAAGCUAUAGUAUAUAUUUAUAUUCCUUUCAGGAAGGCAGAGGCUUGUAUUUACGUUUAUAGUAAGUGUUGACCUACUUUAAAUAUCUAAACUCAUCUAUGGAAAAGUACAAAUUCCAACUGUACUAUCUUAGAUACACUGUCGUUUGGUAAGAUACGCACAUCGAAGCUAGUUGCAAUCCCAACAUUAGCCCUUAAAUGUGUAAAAAUGUUUAAUAAAAGCUUUGUGAGAUUUUCUAGGGCAACACAAUGGUGCAAGUUGCAUGUGCUUGAAGCCAAAAGGUUAAGAAGCAUUCAUAUUGAGUUAACGUGCUUUUCAAAAUGCCAAGCCCACUCACAAGUAAUCCUGAACUAAGAACAUAAAUGUAACUUGGAGAUAUAAAUUCAACCAAAUGAUUUUUUUUUAAAUAAAGGAUUAGGCAAAUAUAUAAAUUGGGAAAGAUUAACAAGAAUAAAGUGUACAUAUUUAGCUAAAUAUGAAGACAAUACUAUCAAUCUUUUAUUUAUAGCUAUAUCAAAAGCCAGCUGUACACUAGAAAUAGGUAUUUUGGAACUACCUGAGUUACUACUUCCAACAAGAUAAAAAACUCAUCAGCUGAAAAUAUAACAACUCAGAUACUUGUCAGGGUUUACUUUAGUACAUGCUGCACUGAUCAAUUAAGUAUGCUUGAAUUCACAUCUCCAGGAUUUCCUAAUUGGCACUUACUGCUUGAACAGUGCAAACCAAAACAGAUCAAAGUGAUGUGUGACAAAAAUGUUCAAGGCACAAUGAAGCACUUCUGUAAGCCAAGCCAAGAACACUUGAAGGAGUAGUACAGUGGGAAAGCAGGGAACAAGUGCUGAAAACUGAAGCAAAGGUGGCAAGAAAUGAAAUAAAACUAGACUGAUAGGACUGUGUUAUGAGGAGAAAAUGGGAGAACAGCCAGAAGUUGCAACUUCAGGUUGCUCCAUUCCCAACUGGACAGAGAUCAGGCACGUCAAAUUUGCUGCUUUUUAUUUACAGUAGAAGAACAUGUUGCUCAUAUAUAUCCGAACAGUGGUACUAGUUAUAGCCAGCUUUAUUAGAUGUUUGAAGUUUUAUGUGCUUUAGUUUUGAGACAACAUCAACCACUACUUUUGACAAAUGCUACUUAAGCUGGAGCUUUCAGUUAUCUACCUAAACGUACCACAAUACCGUACUACCAAAGUCGGCUUUAUAUUGCAUUUGACUCUUAUUUAAUAACUUAGAUACACGGUUGGGGAAAAUCAAUGAUUUUAGAGUAAACCGCAUACAGAGACAAAACUUGGAGCAAAGCAAGGUUUAUUAGAGACAAAAUCACACAAGCACUGCUGGUGACAGAGAUGUACAUUGUAGGCAAUUCCAUAAUACAAGACCAAGAGAUCAAAGUUAAUAGCAAGUACAUUUAAAAGAAGAGGAAAUACAUCUAUGCGCAGCCUGCGGCAGAACGGAGCGGUGCAGACACUGAGGCCUGGUCUACCCCGGAAACUCAGAUCGACCCAGCUACGGAGCUCAGGGCUAUGAAGAAAUCUCCCUCCCCUCCGAGUGCAGCCACGCCACCUAGCCCGGGUGUAGACGCAGCUAAGGGCAGCCACACUGGGCCCCCGGCUCCGACUCCCCCAUCCCGC